AACGAACGCUGGCGGCAGGCCUAACACAUGCAAGUCGAGCGAGACCUUCGGGUCUAGCGGCGGACGGGUUAGUAACGCGUGGGAACGUACCCUUCUCUAAGGAAUAGCCACUGGAAACGGUGAGUAAUACCUUAUACGCCCUUCGGGGGAAAGAUUUAUCGGAGAAGGAUCGGCCCGCGUAAGAUUAGAUAGUUGGUGGGGUAAUGGCCUACCAAGUCUACGAUCUUUAGCUGGUUUUAGAGGAUGAUCAGCAACACUGGGACUGAGACACGGCCCAGACUCCUACGGGAGGCAGCAGUGGGGAAUCUUAGACAAUGGGCGCAAGCCUGAUCUAGCCAUGCCGCGUGUGUGACGAAGGCCUUAGGGUCGUAAAGCACUUUCGCCUGUGAUGAUAAUGACAGUAGCAGGUAAAGAAACCCCGGCUAACUCCGUGCCAGCAGCCGCGGUAAUACGGAGGGGGUUAGCGUUGUUCGGAAUUACUGGGCGUAAAGCGCACGUAGGCGGAUUGGAAAGUAUGGGGUGAAAUCCCAGGGCUCAACCCUGGAACUGCCUCAUAAACUUCCAGUCUAGAGUUCGAGAGAGGUGAGUGGAAUUCCGAGUGUAGAGGUGAAAUUCGUAGAUAUUCGGAGGAACACCAGUGGCGAAGGCGGCUCACUGGCUCG
rnacentral:rRNA from 1 species